rfam:Desulfotomaculum aeronauticum DSM 10349 genome assembly, contig: EJ44DRAFT_scaffold00001.1
AACACCUUUAAUAACGGUCCAGAGAGGCCGGCAAGGUUAUCCCCGGAGUGGGAUAUAAGGCAAAAUUGAUGCCCGCGUGUAGUUGGGCAGACGUAGCCAAAUUGCCGGCCUCAAUCAGAUUUAAUCUGGUUGAGGCCUUUCUU